rnacentral:rRNA from 1 species
GUGGGGAAUUGUUCGCAAUGGGCGCAAGCCUGACGACGCAACGCCGCGUGGGGGAUGAAGGUCUUCGGAUUGUAAACCCCUGUCGAGCGGGACGAAUGGCCCGCGACCUAACACGUCGUGGGAGUGACGGUACCGCUAAAGGAAGCCACGGCUAACUCUGUGCCAGCAGCCGCGGUAAUACAGAGGUGGCAAGCGUUGUUCGGAAUUACUGGGCGUAAAGGGCGCGUAGGCGGCCUUCUAAGUCAGACGUGAAAUCCCCCGGCUUAACCUGGGAACUGCGUCUGAUACUGGAGGGCUCGAGUGCGGGAGAGGGAUGUGGAAUUCCAGGUGUAGCGGUGAAAUGCGUAGAUAUCUGGAGGAACACCGGUGGCGAAGGCGGCAUCCUGGACCGACACUGACGCUGAGGCGCGAAAGCUAGGGUAGCAAACGGGAUUAGAUACCCGAGUAGUCC